GCCGUGGCCCGGGCGGGAGGGCCCCGCCGGCUGGGGCUGCCCGGAACGUGCUCCGCGCAGGGAACUGGCUCCACAGCGGUUACUGGUCCUUUCAUUCAGCAAACACUGACUGCCUGGCAGGAGCCUGGUGCAGGGUACUAGGGAUUCCGAGUUGAACAAGAGCAAGCACAUGGAUCCCUGGAGAAGGUUUCCUGAAGACAUUAGCAUUUGAAUCAGCAGACUAAGAAGAUUGCCCUCCCUUAUGUGGUGGCCUCAUCCAAUCCACUGAAGGCUUGAAUAGAACACUAUGGUAGAGGAAGGGAGAAUGUGAUGGCUUUCUGCCUGAAGACUCAAACUGAACCAGGAUGUAUCUUCUCCUGCCCAAGGCCUUCAAACUACACCACCGGCUUUCCUGGUUC